rnacentral:sRNA from 1 species
GCAGGGUGCCAUGAUGUACCAGUAGUCCAAGCUACACAGGAGGCUCAGACAGGAGCAUUGCUUGGGCCCAGGAAUUUGAAGUCACUCUGGGCAACAGAGCAAGGUCCUGUCUCAA